AGGGUCGGCCCAGGUUGCGGUCGACCGAGGCGAGCAACCUAGCCGUGGGGCUCCUGUCGAUGAUCGAUCGAGCCAUCGAAGGACGGUUCACGUUCGCAACUUCUGAUCGCAUCGAUCGGGACUCUGGAUGGAAGACGGGCUCGGGACUCGGGCGGUCCUGACGCAGACGGCAGAUUGAUUGGCGUGGUGCCGCCACCGGACGUUGCGCCAGGCAGGCAACUGCGUGUCUGCGUCGCCCACCUCCGUCAAGAGCAAUCAAUAAUCUGCCGAACGAAACAACUCGUCCCAGACUCAUCCUGCUGGUCCCUCAAUGUUAGCCGUCGACGACUCUGACAAGCACAAUGUCUUUGAAAACAAUGUCGAGAUUGAUAACUCCUAGCCAAGUUGCUUUUCAUAGAGCCCAAGUUGCAGGAGAUGAGCCAGAUAUUCCUUAUUAUGUAUGCAAAUGACAAUGUUCAAUGUCACCACUGGAAAUUUUAAGAUGGUCAAUAUUUGAGAUUUGACUAUUUAAA